AACUGAACUCACUGGGUUAUGAAAACAUAAAAAGACAUGAAGUUGGGAGAGGAUUUGAAGAGAAUGAUGAGCUAAAUUUUCAUCCUUGAUCAUCUUGGAAAGAACAUUAAAUUCUCCAUAAGGUCAAGACCAAGGCCCACCAACUCACUAUCUGAACCAAGAUCUUUAUAUGAGCCAGGCUGAGGAGACAAAGUCUGGGAUUUGUAGUUAUCAAGUGGUAAUUGGAGAAGAGGACACAUGAAGAGGAAUCAGAUGCAAUGAAAGGGAACAGCGGAGCUGAUAUAUAACAAAGUACACUGGACCUGGUUUCUGCAUUCCAGUAUGCAUAGGAUUCAGAACACUAAAGAAGGACAUGGGAACCAGGAGGAUGGCUCAGCUCAUGACCAUGAGUGAUGUGCAAGUCCAAUGAUCCAAGUUUAGUUCCUGGAACUCACAGGAGAAAAAGGCAAGUAAAAAUAGAGGCAAAUGUUUCCUAUGGCGGGGAAACUUAUUUACUUACUAGAGAGAUGAUACUUAUAGAACUUUUAAAAGUAUGAGAGAAAAGUGUUCAAUGGAUAUAAACUAAAAUUAGAAAAUGGCCAAGAAUAACAAGGAAAACUUCAUCCUGCUGUUAGCCAAAUCAGUAUAAAGUUAAACAAGGUACCACAUAAAAGGAGAAUAUUUGAGAUUUGUGGACAUGAAACCAGGAAAGGGUGUAACAUUUGAAAUGUAAAUAAAUAAAAUAACCAAUAAAAAAGCAAAAGAAAAAUAUUUUUUUAAAAAGGAGAAAGGGGGUUUAUUCCUUUUAAAAUGAACUCCUUUGUAGAUUAUCAAAAGUAUCCAGAUAAUAUUACUAGGAAACAUACAAUGAGAUUCAAAUACACGAACAAAACCCAGAAUGGAUUAAGGGACAUAUGCAGUAAGUGUCUCAAGUACCUAAUGUUUAGGUUCAUAAAGCUAAAACUACUCAGAAACUUUUACCCAGGCCAAUGGUCCUGACAUUGAAAAUGUCUUCAAAGAUUUCUAAAUAGCAACAACAGGGUAAUUUUAUGAUAUGACAAAUAAAAUGUUAAGAUCAAAAGCUUCAGGCUAAACUGAGUUUAGUGGCAUUUGCCUUAAAUCCCAGUACCUAGGAGGCACAGACAAGCAGAUCUUUGUGAGGUCCAGUGCCUGAUCUAAGUAGCAAACCAGGCCAGUUUAUUAUCAAGAUAUAUAAGUAAUCUAGAGGUGACUUAAAGUACAAGAGAAAAUGUAUACAGAUGUAAUCAGUAUAUGCAAAUGCCAUACCAUAUUGCACAAAGAACUUAAACACUUAAGCACAUGGGCAUCCUUGGGAGUCUGGGGUGCUGUGGGAUGGGGGUGCCUCUCUCUGCAAAAUGCAAACUGCCAUGUAAAUGUUAAGAAGCCAGCAAUUAAUGGGCUGUCCUGAGCUACUCUACUUUGUACAACAGAAUAUUUUAAUUUUCUUAUACAUGAAUUCUAAAAUUACCCCUUCAGUCAUCAAAUAACCUAGAAGAAAUGUUACCAGUAGAUGAUGCAGAGACAACAUUUUACUGGGAGAGGAAGGGAAGCGAAGCAUAUGGUACAAACUCAGUCUAAAUGUGACUUUAACACAACUCAUAUGUCUCAGUGGCUUCCAACAAAGCAGAAGUUUCUUAGUGUAUAGAUCUAGUUAUUUCCUAAAGAAAAGGAAAAUAAAAAGGGAUCAAAGAAGUGGGGGCAGGAGCUUCGGAGAGGGAACAGCAAGUGGGACAAGCAAUAUGAAGGGGAAAAUGGGAAAACAGGGAGAAUUUAAUAGGAAAGGUAUGAGGAAGAACCUCACAGAAGGAGACAGAUGGAGGAGUCAUAAAUAACACUAAAGGUUUUUUCUUAGCCUUAGAGAAUUGUAUUUUAUAUUUACCUAAAACUAUACAUAAUAUGUAUUAGUGUAUGUGUAUGCCAUUUGUUUGUGUGUGUACAUGUAUGUAUAUACAGGUGAAGUUAUACAAAUUGUGUUUGUAACUUUUCAAUGACUCAGAUACCACUAAGGCAGAAAGUAGGCAAAUUUUUUUAUGUAAACAUUUUAUUAGGAUAAUAUCAUGAGUAUUCACUAAAUGUCAAUUCUUACAUCUUUUUUUUUAAAUUAAGUAUUUUCUUAUUUUACAUUUCCAAUGCUAUCCCCAAAGUUCCCCAUCCCUCCCCCCCACUCCUCUACCCACCCACUCCCACUGACUUGGCCCUGGUGUUCCCCUGUACUGAGGCAUAUAAAGUUUGCAAGACCAAGGGGCCUCUCUUCCCAAUGAUGACCAACUAGGCCAUCUUCUGCUGCAUAUGCAGCUCAGCUCGAGACACGAGCUGUGGGGGUACUGGUUAGUUCAUAUUGUUGUUCCACCAAUAGGAUUGCAGACCCCUUUAGCUCCUUGGGUACUUUCUCUAGAUCCUCCAUUGGGGGCCCUGUGUUCCAUCCAACAGCCCACUUCUGUGUUUGCCAGGCCCCUGCAUAGCCUCACAAGAAACAGCUAUAUCAGGGUCUUUUCAGCAAAAAUCUUGCUGGUGUAUGCAAUGGUGUCUGCGUUUGGAGGCUGAUUAUGGGAUGGAUCCCUGGGUGUGGCAGUCUGUAGAUGGUCCAUCCUUUCAUCUCAGCUCCAAUUUUAAACCAUGAGAAACUAAAGCUGUUAGGCUUUCCAUUGGAUUCGAUAUUUGGACAGAAAGAAAAGUCUAAAUGUAGGUAGUUCCCUGUCAUGAUGAUACACUAAAUUGCACUUAGCCCAGCUAUUAAGAACAAAGAAAGAAAGAGACAGAGAAAUGGAGGGAGGAAAAGAGAGAGGAAGGGAAGGAGGGGGAGAGAGAGAGAAAGGAAAGAAGGAAGUGCACAAAAGAGCUUGCAAAAUAGAAAAAGCCCUAUAGUCAUUUGUCAGACCAAUGACUGUGAAGUUUCUAUGACAGCCUGUGACAAAAUCAAGUUAGAAAUUCUGUCCCAUCUCUUUGCUUCCUUUUCUUAAACCUAUCAAAGGUCAUUAGUGUUUAUUAUUAUUUGUUGAUCUACUUUAUCCUGCCUGUAACUUGUGAUUGUGACACAUAUAUUCCCACUCACUGAAAAGACAAUGUCAAUUCAACAUAAAGGAAAAAACUGUGUUGCUCCCACUGUUUGAAUACCGAACCUUAAACAUGGUUCUUUGAAUCUUUUAGUGUCUUAAUUAGUAAAAGGGCAAAUCAUUUGUAAGUUGAGAAAUUACCAUCUAAUUUCCAUUUAACCCCUUCACCAUAAAAUAAAUUCAGAUUUAUAGGGAUUCAGCAUACCCUAAAAUUACAUUCCUGUGCAAAAUGAAAACUAGAUCAAACAUUGCUUUGAUAAGCAGGCUUUUCUCCAGUUACCCAACAGGUCCAGGAUGAAAAGAUAACAAAAUUGAAUUGAAAUUCUAAAAUUGAAGGCCAAACAUGACAAACGGGUUUGGAGUCAAUCAUGCAGAGGUAACUGCUCUCAGGUACCCAAAGGCAGCUGUGAUCUGAACAGGUUUUGGGAACAGGCCAGUCAGCAGCCAGCUUUUCAAACCUCCCAGCAUGCCAGGUGAUACUAGUAUCUACAAACAGAUGAAACAAAUUAAAAACUACCAUCUUGCCAGGUGUGGUGGCUCACGCCAUUAAGUCCCAGCACUUGGGAAGCAAAGGCAGGCAGAGCUACAUGAGUUUGAGUCCAGCCUGGUCUACAUAAGGAGUACCAGGAUAACGAAGACUACAUACAUAGGUGAAAACACACACACACUCAUACAUAGCAAGGUCCCGUCUUGAAAAACAAACCAACAACAACAACAACAAUAACAACAACAACAACGAAAACACCUACAAUCUCCAUAAGAUCUUUCUGAGUUAAGCAAGAAAAGUAAAGCUAGCAAGCAAAGUACAUUUUUCUCUUUGGGUUGCAUGUGGCCAUUGGGGUUAUGUAAUCCCAUUCAGACUGUCCGAAGCCUGCUGCUUCAUUUUUUUCAUGACUUCUCUUUCCAUCAUCACAGGCUCUGGUAGCAUAGUUAAAUGCUAGGACAUAUAUGCUGGUCCAGAACUGAUUGGCUCUUGCUGGCCACCUGAUCAAAACUAAGCCAACCAGAGUCUCACUGCCAGGACCAGGAACUGCGAUACUGCUUGGCCUCCAGUAAGCAGUGGAAAGGCCAUGUUCCAAUGUUCGAAUAGAGAAAGAGAAAGAGCAACUUUGCAGAAUCAAGCUGAAAGCAGACCCAACAAAGAAUAUGAACUAAGAGACAAACUGAGUGGAGAGAGACCAUACAUAGCUGCCAUCUUCCAAACUUGACCAUACCCUCCCUUUCCUUUGUAAUACCCCAUCCCUCCAAUGCCAAUGGAUUCCAUGAGGUUCCCUGAGGAUCACACCUCUAUUUACAACACAAAAUUUUCCAUCUUCAUUCAAGAUAAUGCUAAUUUUCAUGUACUUACAAAUAAGGGACACCUAACAUUAAGGUGUCCAACCUAAGUACUGCCAGGCUUGAGCCACACAGCUCUCUUAAGUGUUCCUCCACCUCAGUCGGUUUGGUCUUCCAGGUCUCCCUUCUGAGUUCCUUUCCUCUUUGUCCCACCUGGUGCCAGCUUGGACCUGAACACUGGGGUUCACAUCUCAUCUGCCUCCUCAAGCUACAUAGACUGUGCUUCAGUUUCUUUUUCCAUAGUUGAGGAGACUAAGGCUCCUCACCUCACACAGCGAUGAUAGGUGAAAACACACACACACUCAUGCACACAUGCUCACAUCUCCACCCCUGCCACAGACACACACCACAAGCUCUCAUUCCAGCCCUCCGGCACUGAGCUUGACAGACUUCCAGAGCCUUCCAACUGGGAUAAAAGUUACUAGUGACACCCACUUUAACCUCUGUCUGCCUGUGGUACCCUUAUUUUUUCCUCCUAGAAGGCCCUGCUCACUCUCCAGCUUCUUUUCCACAAAUGUAAAAUUACAUUAAGGGAGAAAAAAAGUUGAAAAAAAAAUAUGUUUUCUUCACUAGUUGAAAAGACGACAUGAAUGUAUGUAAAAAGAAUAAUAAAAAAAAUAGUGUUGUAGAGAGGAACCAUUAUAGUUCCUUAGAAGAGUAUGUUGAGCAUAGUAACGUGCAUACAUGCACACACAUAUGCAUAUACCUGCAGACACCUCAGGUUGAUGUCAGGUGUCUUCGUCCAUCUUAUUUUUUGAAAGAAGGUCUCACACUAAGCCAGGAACUCAACAAUUCUGUUAGACUAGCUGUCCAGUGAGUUCCAGGAUCUUCUUGUCUCUGCCUCCUCAGUGCCAGGAUUAUAAGCACACUGCAGAAGGCACGAUUCUUACAAUGGCUGCCUCGGAUCAAACAUCCACAUACUUAUACAGCUCGUGCUUUAUAGACUGAGCCACUUCCAGAGCCUUAGACGGUGCUUUAAUAACAGAGGGAGCAUAUGACUUAACAGAUGCAUAUAGAGACAGUUACACAAGUUAACUACAGGUAUUGAAUGGUCUCAGAUGUUCUUUUUUGAUGUUUAAUGAACAUCUGCAGAUGUUGCACUUGAAGUGCAUGGUGCAAUGACUUUUGAAAUGUGACAACUCUGCAUACAAGGUAAAUUAUAAAUCUGGAUAGUUUUUCUCAAGCAUUUUAUCAUAUGUGUCAACUACAUAUGAAUCAUGUGUUAUCUAAUGUUUGCUUUUAACUGAAUAUUAGCAUGAAAGAUAAAAGAACCUAAAUUAUUUUAAUUGCUGUUCAAAUUAAAAAGCUCAAGUUUCAGAGUCUUGGUUACUUUUCUUGUUUCUGUGACUAAAAUCCACCAAUAAAAGCAACUUAAAGAAGAAACGACUGAUUAGGUUUUUGCUUGAUGUUUGCUUGCUUAACGUACAGCUCCAAUAUGGUCUAUUAAUGCAGGGAAUUUACAACAGCAGGAAAUUCAACAGUCCCAUUACAUCUGCCAGGAAGCAUACAGAAUCAAAUGCUUAUGCAUAGCUCACUUUCUCCAUUUUAUAUAGUCCAGGGCCUAAGCCCAGGGAAUGGUACUACCCAUAAUGGGAAGAUAGGGAAUGGUACCACCCACAGUGGGCAGCCAGUAAGUGGUACCACCCACAAUCAGCAGGUCUUCUCACUUCAGUUAUCCUAACCAAGAUAAUCUUCUAUAGGUAUGACUGGAAGCCCACCUCCCAGAAUAUUCUAGAUUUCAUCAAGUAGACAUCUGUGAUUAAUCAUCACAUACAGGCACUAAACUCAAAACACUUGUCCAUUUGUGAUAUUAUUCUCCAGCAAGAAGACUUCUCUUUUAAGUUCCAGCCUGUAUUUAACAAGCUAUGUUUUUUAGCAUUUACUCUAGAACAUUCAUCAUUGAUCCACUGGCAAAAUAAUGACAAGGAGAUGGUUAUACCACUAUGUUCUUAUUCUUACAUACAGCCUAGGGCUAAAUUAACUGCUAAAUUAACAGUUUACUAGAUUCUGGUACAAAAGGCUCAAUCAAAUACAUAGUUUGGCAACCUAUUAAAUCAACAAUAAGAGAAUGGUCAAUGGAAUUUUAACCCAAAUUAAGCUCACCUUUCCUGUACAAUAAUAUAAUGUGCUAGUGAAGAUUGGGAGGAUCAAUAAAGCUGACAGUCAAAGGGAAGUGCAAUUGAGCUGUGGCAAAGGGCCUGGUGCUUGCAUAGAUAUUGGCUACUUUUCAAUUCUGUCAUCCCCAUGCCUUUCAACCUAGUCAGGUCAUCUCCUUCCUAAGCCAUGUCUCUGUCAUCAGUAAGCAGAGACCAAUGACUGCACACACACACCGUGGUGCUGUGCAGAGGAUUACAUACACUAACAUCCCUAAAGCAUUCAUUAGAGAUAAAGCUGGCAAGACCAGAGAGUAAAUAUCGUAGGUUCUGCAGAAAAUACUCCACUCAACUUAAGAGCAGCCACAGGUAAUAUGGAAACAAGCAGGUAUGGCUACAGUCCACUAAUACUUAACUUCUGCACUCAAGUUUGAAUUUCAUAAUUUUUUUCCUGUCAUAAAACAACUCUUGAUUUUUGGUUUUGUUUUGGUUUUUGUUGUUGUUUUUGUUGUUGUUUGGGGUUUUUGGGUUUUUUGUUUGCUUGGUUUUUUUGUUUUUUGGUACAACUUAGAAAUGUGAAAGUGAUUCUUGGCUUACAAGGCACAUAAAUACAGGCACUGAGCCUGUCCUAUGGCAAAUACAGAGAAGAAUCCAGCAUUUCUACUGAUGAUAACUGAGAACAGAAGGGAUUUCAGUGCUGUCAAGAAUAAGUCAUUUUCUAAACUGAGUGCUUUGUUACUUCUUUCCUACCGUUUAAAUUGCCACUGAAGGGACAUUAUAAAAACAACUGGAAGGUGGAUUCCUGUGAGGUGAUAAAUACACCUUUCAGAGAGCUGAGGCAGGAGUAGAGAGGACCUCUCAUUUCACAAUAGCCUCCAUCUUCAGGAAGUCUAAUCCCCAAAGCAGCUGGGGAUGUGACUUCAGAUGCACCAUGCUAUCUAACAUUUAAAAAGGAAGCAUCAGAACAGUCACAACAGAAAGGAAAGAGCAACAAGGGUUUUAAUUUUAAAAGACAAAUGACUGGAACACCAUUUCUUAUCUACAAAUGGGUUUUACUAUCUUACUUUCAAACAUAUUCCUGUAAGUCACCAAUGAGUUGAGAAUGUUGGGAGUUCUUCAGGGCAAGAAAAAAAAUAGUUCUUUCAUUUUUCUAAAAGCAUAAGAUGGGUUUACAGCAGCUCCUAAAUCUUAUAGGGCAGUGAACUGGAUAACCUUAUGGGGUAAGAGAAAAUUCAUUUAUAAUUUUUUCAUGUUGGAUAAGCACAUCUUAUAUCUACAAUUAAAAGCUAACAAUUUUUUAUCCAUAACAAACAGAAUUCCAAGACACACACACACAUAAAAUAAUGACUUGGGUUGGUGUUUCAAGUCUCAGAGUCAGCUGUCACCACCCUGCUACAGAUAGCAGCUAUGUUCUAGGGGAACACAGUGGCAACCAUGUCAAUACAAGUACAGCAAAAAGAAAAUUAUAUUCUUCUUUAUUGGUAACAAAGUCUCCAGUCUAAGCCAACCCAGAUCAAUGAACAGAAUCAAGAAAAAGGAGGCAGAUGGGGAGACAAAGAAGUUUAAGUGCUAUCAUCAUUAAGGUAUUGAUCCAUGGAUAAUGCUUGAUAAUGGAGAGCGGUUAGAUAAUUUGGCAAUGUAUCAAGGUUAACAUGCAUAUUUGGAGUGUCUCCAAGGGAGUAUCCCCCAAUACAGUUUGGAUCUGAAGUGUCCCCCACAAAGCUCAUGUGUUGAAGUAUUGACCCCAAUGUAGCAAUGUUUACAGGUAAGGCUUUGGGUAGUUUGCUGGAUCACAAAGGCUCUGGUACCAUCUGAAGAUUAAUCCAAUGGUGGAUUCAUCAUUUAAUGGACUAUUGGGAGGUAAUAGAAUCAGGAGCUAUGACCGAGUUGAAGAGAGUGUUUCCUUUGUGGUAUUCACUGAGGAACUCUUUCCUUUUCUAGUUCUCUUCCUCUCCCUCCUACCCUCUCUUUCAACCAAUGUGAUAUUAGUCAAGCCACUCUACCUACUAUACUUUCCCUCACUAUGAUGCUCUGUUUUACUGGAGGAGGUGGCAAAAGAGCAAAGUGAUCAUGGGCUGAAACCACAAGCCAAAACAAAUUGUCUGUCCUUUAAGACACUCUCCAUCAGAUAUUUUGUCAUAGCAAUAGAAAGUAACCCAGCUGCUGAAUCAGAUUGGUUAAUUCCUGAUGGUGUUAGGUCUCAGUUCCACAUGCAUCCUCCAUAAGUAUUACUCUUGGAGCCAUAUUUACAAGUAUGGUUCCUCAUAAAAGUAAGUGUUAAGUGCUCCCCUCUGGGAAGUUCUCAUGGACAAGAUUUGCAGUUUUACAAAUUGGAAGCACCUUGAAGCCAUAGAGGAGUCCAUGAUGAAAUGUGAGCUUCAACAAAGAUCCAUUUACCUGUGGAAGAAGAGCCAUGCUCUCAGAAAUCAUAGAAGUUGCUGGUUCUUUUGAAAAUGAGGGUUUCAAAGUUAACCCAAAUCCUGAUUAAAUACUGACUCAUUGGUCUCCUUUCCUACACUUCUUUUGCAUUUCAGUAACUCUCAGCGAUAUUUGUCAUUCUAGAAAAGAGAGUUAAUAAAAAGUCUGACAGCAAACCGCCCAGCAGAGUCAAAAUUACUUCCUUUCCUAUAAAUGAUUUGUCUAAGGAGAUGAAUCACAUCGGUAUGAAAAGAGUUCUAAAUGGGAUAAGGUAUUUAGAGAAAAAAAAGUAGAAAAUUUGAAUUAAUAAACAUUUUAAUAUAAGUUCUACAGGGACAGAUUAGGAGAUUGUAAUUGAUCAUUGCUUAAACAUGAACCUGGUAUUUUAUUACUACCUUAAGAUCAUGGAGCUGCAGUCCUGAAAGUGGAGAUGACGUCAUGACUAGUAUGUCCAACUCUAAUCUGUAUCCUUAGCAUCCAUGAGGCAACAGAGCAAAACACUGCGAAGGGUAAUGUGAAAAUAAUGCAGAUAACCACUCUAAAGGCAGGUAUAAUAUAGGGACAAUGUGGAUGUUAGUUCCCAAAAUUGUUCCUCAUGCUUUUAUACUUUUCAGAAUUUAAAUUUUUAUUGUUUUGAGAAUUUUAUAGUUAAGUAUUGUAUUAAUAUUAUUCCCACCCCUUCGUCUUUACUUCCAAUUCCUUUUAUGUUCCCUAUAACUCCUUCUCAAGUUCAUGACCUCUUCUGUAAUACUCUCUCUCUCUCUCUCUCUCUCUCUCUCUCUCACACACACACACACACACACACACACACAUUAUUGUUAUAUACAUGUGUUUAGAGGGGACCACUGAUAUUGGGUAAUCUAUCAGGGGGCUCAACAUCCCUGGAGAAGAAGAUGAAUCUCUUCUUAGCAGCCAUUGAUUGCCUAAAGUUCUUCACUUAGGGGUAGGGCCUUGUGAAUUUCCUCCUAUCUGUGGUGGUAUGACAGCUUGUACUAUCAUUGUGCGGGCUUGUUCAAGCAGCCAUGUUGUUGAAAUUUCAUGGGGCAGCUUCCCUGUCAUAUAUAAAAGACACUAGCUAGCACCAGGUAUUCUAAUCAUCUCAAGCAUACUAUCCUCUCAAUUUUGUACAAUGCUCUCCAAGCUUUAGGUGUCGGAGUUGUAUCGUGGAGGUAUGAAUUAGGGCCAGCCAUUCUUUGUUUACUUAUUCUCUAAAUUUUUAGCAGUUGUGGAUCUCUGUGGCCGUCUCUGUCUGUUCCAAAUGAAGCUACUUUGAUGAAAGGUUAGAGCUACAUUUAUGUGUGGGUAUAAGGAUAAGUAUUCAGACUAUAGUAGUUUUUCCAAUGCUGAAUGCAGACUCUAAAAAUAAAUCCUGACUGUUAUCAGUUAUAUAGCCUAUAUUCAUCACUCCUAAGUAAAGUGAAUAGCCUGGAUGGCUCAGUAAUACCUGGAAGUAGGGCUGUGGAGAGACAUCUAAAUGAGUAGGUACCAGCGUUCUAAUGAGAGCUGAAAAGCUAAUUGGUAUCUCUCAGGAGAUUCUCAGCCCUUCUCACCUUCUCCCUCAAGUACCAUCGCCACCCAAGCAGAAGCUCUCCCAUCCCAGAGGCCUUGCAAAAUCUCCCUCUUCCUCUCCCUCCUCUUCCCCUCUCCUUCCCCUUUCCCUCUCCCUCCUCUUCCCCUCUCUCAUUCCUUCUCUCUGACUCUUCUUUCCCUUCCCCAUCUUAAAUGCUCCAGAAGCUACUCUCAGCCCCACAACUCUUACUCCCUGGGUGGUUUCCUCAAGUCCCACAGGUUUAACCAACCCCAAUGUUUGAUAAUGACUUUAUCUACAUCUCCAGCACCACCUUAACUCUGCUCUCCAGUUCAGAGUACCCAACCUCAACAACUGCAUCUUCCUGCGCUAGCCAUGACCUUUCAUCCCAUUUCCUGUCUCAUUUUAUGGCAGCCCAAGACAGAGGCUCAGCUACUGAGCCGUCCUUUCCCCUGACUUGGCCUUCAAUUACGUUACGUGCUUUUCUCAUAGGCCAGAACUGUCCCAUCCCAUAUCCUGAGCUUUGUUUCCAAAAUUCAAGCCAAUGAUCCAAGCCAGGGUUUUCUGCUGCUGUGAGAUAACUUAAGUAUUUAAGUAUUGUUGUAAUCUUUAAUAAAUGAAUAAAUGCAACUUGUGCUAGCAAGAGG